rnacentral:piRNA from 1 species
UAUGGAAUAAAAUUAUGCAGC